AAAAAAAUAAAUAAAAAUAAAAAUCAGCCAUUAGAUGUCAUAGGGCCAGUGUAGGAUCAUGAGACUAUUUAGAACUUUCAUCUGAUUGUUGGCACUGCACUGGAAGGUGCAGCCGUAAAAAUCAAAAUGCAUAUGUAAACAACUCCAAGUCGUUAGCCAUAUUGUUUGAAAAAGUAAUGUUUACUGACUUGCAUUUGUUUUGCUGUAGCUUAUCUUGGAUUCUGAAAAAAUCUUAACAGAUUCUUGAAUAUUACACCCUUAUAUGAGUGAAGGGAACAGUUACAGCAGUAAUGACUUGCAGGUGUGGAUUGACUUGCCCUCCAGUGAGACUCCUUGGUUUCUGCUUCCUAACACGUCGUCUUCCAGAGGAGUGUUGACACAGGACUCUGGUUUGCCAUUCAUCCAAUGCAGAUCCCAACAUUAUUCUGUAGACUUAUGAUUUGAGUUCAAAAGUGUGGCUUGUUGCAUUGCUAGGGUCUGUAGUACACUCUUCUCUCCAUGCUUACCCAAAUAACUCAGGUCAAAACUUAACUUCCUUCUGCUUGGAUCUUAGGAACCUGAUACUCAUCAGAAAGACCACAGAGAAGACUGAAAGGAGGUCAUUCCUCUCAUCUCCUCAGCCUGCUGGUGCAGAUUUCCAACGUGCCCACAUUAUGGGAGUUUCUGUUUGUAUCCCACAGUAUGUUUGGCCUGAAGACCAUUGUGGAAAUAUGAGAUGACUUUUUAGACCUUUCUUCUAGCCUGAAGAAAGACGUUCUACUUAGGAUUAUCUUGCAAUCCAAUAAAUAAUAGCAGCUGGUCAGAAACCUGGUCUGUGAACACUGUUGGGAACACUGUUGUGUUUGUUUAAUUAUUUGUAAUAAUUUUAUUUUUGCAGGGAUAUGCUAAGUCUUUUCAAGUGCAAAAGGGAAAGAUGAAAAAAAGAAAAAAAAAAAAGAAAGUUUUGAUUUGAAAGGCCAAGUACAGAUCUUUGUGCUGACUUUCAUAUACUCUAGGACCUGCCCUUCUCUUUUUAUGCAUGAUCACAUACGCUCCAAACAUCUAAGAAGCUUCUGUUGGUGUUGGGGGUUAAAAUUCCUAGGAUUAGAAGCAGAGGUUUUGGAGUCAAGGGCCCCCACCUCUGGAAUUAGUUUUCCUUGGUUUCCUGCCAGUGUCCAUCCAGUAAGCUUCAGAACACAUGGGGAAAUGUUUAUAUUUGGGUUAGCUUCUCUCUAUUUUUAGAUGGUUUGGUUUUGCUUUGAAUUUUACUCUACAGAUGUGAAGAUGGUAGAUUGGCUAUUGUUAUUUUCUAAGAGAAUGAUUUAGCACUACCCAUUACGAGAAGGCUCCCGUGUCCUUUAUCAGUAAUCUUGUAAGAACAUGCUGCAGCCUGUGAAUGAAUAUUUGCAUUCUUACUUCCACAUCAUCAUUUUCCAACAUGUGCUACCGGGAUUACGUUGAGCCGAGCUGGAAAAGCUCCCAAGCCCAGAAUGUUGUACCCUGUGCGUGUUGUUGGCCCUGUUGUUUGGAGGGAACAGGACUGCAUGGACUGACAGGGGUUGGGUGAUUUGCUACCUACAUGUGCUCCUGCUUCGCACUGCAAGCAUCAUCUUUGUCAUACAGCAGGAUGUUUAAAUCUUUGUACCCCAAAAUGUGGACGAUCUUUAAAUGAUUAUAAAUAAAUGAUUGUAAGUAGUAUUUGGUUAUAAA
rnacentral:lncRNA from 1 species